UGUACCUGGUGGCGAGCGGCGGACGGGUGAGUAAUGCCUAGGAAUCUGCCUGGUAGUGGGGGAUAACGCUCGGAAACGGACGCUAAUACCGCAUACGUCCUACGGGAGAAAGCAGGGGACCUUCGGGCCUUGCGCUAUCAGAUGAGCCUAGGUCGGAUUAGCUAGUUGGUGAGGUAAUGGCUCACCAAGGCGACGAUCCGUAACUGGUCUGAGAGGAUGAUCAGUCACACUGGAACUGAGACACGGUCCAGACUCCUACGGGAGGCAGCAGUGGGGAAUAUUGGACAAUGGGCGAAAGCCUGAUCCAGCCAUGCCGCGUGUGUGAAGAAGGUCUUCGGAUUGUAAAGCACUUUAAGUUGGGAGGAAGGGCAGUUACCUAAUACGUAUCUGUUUUGACGUUACCGACAGAAUAAGCACCGGCUAACUCUGUGGGGGGCGGCCGCGGUAAUACAGAGGGUGCAAGCGUUAAUCGGAAUUACUGGGCGUAAAGCGCGCGUAGGGUGGUUUGUUAAGUUGGAUG
rnacentral:rRNA from 1 species